GACGAACGCUGGCGGCGUGCCUAAUACAUGCAAGUAGAACGCUGAAGGAGGAGCUUGCUUCUCUGGAUGAGUUGCGAACGGGUGAGUAACGCGUAGGUAACCUGCCUGGUAGCGGGGGAUAACUAUUGGAAACGAUAGCUAAUACCGCAUAACAGUAGAUGUUGCAUGACAUUUGCUUAAAAGGUGCAAUUGCAUCACUACCAGAUGGACCUGCGUUGUAUUAGCUAGUUGGUGGGGUAACGGCUCACCAAGGCGACGAUACAUAGCCGACCUGAGAGGGUGAUCGGCCACACUGGGACUGAGACACGGCCCAGACUCCUACGGGAGGCAGCAGUAGGGAAUCUUCGGCAAUGGACGGAAGUCUGACCGAGCAACGCCGCGUGAGUGAAGAAGGUUUUCGGAUCGUAAAGCUCUGUUGUAAUGAGAAGAACGAGUGUGAGAGUGGAAAGUUCACACUGUGACGGUAUCUACCA
rnacentral:rRNA from 1 species